AGUUGUGUGGCCGAGUGGUCCAUGGCGCCGGACUUGAGAUCCGUUCCUCGAAAGAGCGUUGUGGAUUCGAAUCCCAUCAUAAUUA
rnacentral:tRNA from 1 species